GAUGGACUAAUAAUAGACUGUUAUGGUUUUGUUAGUGUUAUACAAAAUUGAAGUGUUGGUCUAUAGUCUGCAGUGUAUGUAGUUUACUUACUCGUCCCGUCUUGAAACACGGACCAAGGAGUUUUAUAUGAUCGCGAGUCAAAGGGCUGUACGAAACCCCACGGCGUAAUUAAUGUAAAGGUUUGCUUUAGUAAACUAAGAUGUGACCUCGUGGAAACACAGAGUGCAACAUCGACCCGCCUUAAGUUGUUCGCAACUGGGCGGAGUUUGAGCGAUCAUGUAGAGACCCGAAAGAUGGUGAACUAUGCUUGUGCAGGUUGAAGCCAGAGGAAACUCUGGUGGAGGACCGCCGCGGUUCUGACGUGCAAAUCGAUCGUCGGACAUGAGUAUAGGGGCGAAAGACUAAUCGAACCAUCUAGUAGCUGGUUCCCUCCGAAGUUUCCCUCAGGAUAGCUGACAUUUGUUGUUGUAGUUUUACCCGGUAAAGCGAAUGAUUAGAAGUAUUGGGGGUGAAAUGCCCUCAACUUAUUCUCAAACUUUAAAUGGGUUCGAAGUGUGUCUUUCUUCAUUGAAGAUGUGCAUCGAAUACAAGUGUCUAGUGGGCCAUUUUUGGUAAGCAGAACUGGCGAUGUGGGAUGAACCAAACAUCUGGUUAAGGUGCCUAACAUAACGCUCAUGAGAACCCACAAAAGGUGUUGUUUGAUAAAGACAGCAGGACGGUGGACAUGGAAGUCGUCAUCCGCUAAGGAGUGUGUAACAACUCACCUGCCGA
rnacentral:rRNA from 1 species